rnacentral:ncRNA from 2 species
GAGUAAGUUAAGGGGUGCCGGAGAUUUCCGGCUGAGAUUAAACCCUCUGACCAGAUCCGGUUAGUACCGGCGUUGGAAUAAGACAACACAUGAAA